CAUCGUCUCAUUUGUGAACAGUUUACGAAUUCGUCAAGUUGUGCGUCGAGCGGUUAGUGUGAUAUUUUGUAAGAAAAUAUUAGAAAAAUAUAAUUAAAAUAGUGGAAAAUUUCAAUUUCCAUCAGAUUUGUUCGAUUUUAAACAAUAAUUUUACAAGAAAGCGCUUGCUUGUCUUGAAUACAGAAAUUUGUAUCGAUUUUUGUGUGUGUGUAUAAUUUUUUACUAUACAUACUCGGGUACGCACUACUGUAAAAAAAAUAGUGUUGGUGGUUACCAAUCAUCAAUAUGGCGGACGACGAGCAAUUCUCGUUGUGCUGGAAUAAUUUCAAUAGUAAUUUAUCGGCCGGUUUCCAUGAGUCGCUAUGCCGUGGUGAUCUGGUGGAUGUGACGCUGGCGGCAGAGGGACAAUUUGUUAAGGCUCAUCGUCUUGUGUUGUCUGUCUGUUCGCCCUAUUUUCGUAAAAUGUUCACUCAAAUGCCAGCCAAUCAACAUGCCUUUGUAUUUCUCAAAGAUGUUAGCCAUACGGCUCUUAAAGAUCUCAUCCAAUUUAUGUAUUGCGGUGAGGUAAAUGUUAAACAGGAGGCCCUACCAGCGUUUAUAAGUACUGCAGAGGCUUUACAAAUAAAGGGUUUAACUGAUAGUGAUCCACCACAAUCUCAAACACCACCUGAACCCUCAACACCUACGCCACAAAUACAACAGCAACAAAUACAAACGUCGCCUCGUGUACGACAACGUACUUCAACUGCCCGCUCAUAUAAAAUUGAAACGGUCGAAGAUUCCGGUGAUGAUGCAAAACAAACUACACAAAUAGUCAUACAAACAACGGCGCCAACACACCCACCCCAAGCUACAAUUACCACCCAACCUCAACACCAGCAGCAGCAGCAACAUCAACCCCAACAACAGCAGCAGCAGCAACAUCAUCAUCAGCCUCAACAACAGCAACAACAUAUAACGCAACAAACUCUACACACUCAAACACAUCAACUUACCAGCGUUAGUAUGCCAGCGGCUGCCACCACAACUGUGGUGACACAAAAACGACCCGCCCAACGCUCGAGUCUAGGUAGUGUGCCGAAUAUUAAACGCUCCAAGAGUACAAUUGAUCCUUUAGAGGCUUCGGAUGCCAACACAGCUGCUGCCACACAUCAAAUAAACGUACAAACUGUUGUUGCCGAAACUAAACCUCACGUACAACAUCAACAACAGCAUCAAACACAUCAUCACCAGCAACAGGCGCAACAUCAACAGCAAACAAAUGAACCUGAAUACAUUGACUUACCCAUUGAUCUGCCCACAAAAUCGGAACCAGACUAUGCUGAAGAGGCUGGCGAAGUCGAUCAGGCCGAACAAGAUGCCACCUAUGUUGAAGAUGAAUCCUAUGGUGAUAUGCGUUACGACGAAAGUUACUUUACCGAAAAUGAAGAUGCUGCUGCAGCGGGUGGUAAUGCAACGGCAACCUCAACACAAAAUACAAGUGCAACGACAGCCACCACUUCAAAGGCUAUUGUGAAACAACAACCGCUCUCUGAUUCUUCAUACAUGGAUACAUCAGCAGAUCCAGCAAAUAGUGAUGCACAAGGUGGCAUUAUUAAGGUGGAACAUGGUGAUUUUUCAUUUAUAAAUGGUCAACGGGGCUGCACUCUUUUGGCCUAUAAGGGUUAUAAUUUUGUUAAAAAUCGCAAAAGUGGUGUGAAAACAUACUGGAUAUGUGCCAAAAAGGGCAGUUUAAAAUGUAAUGCCCGCGUUGUGACUGAUGUUGUGAAUGGUAUUACACAGAUUGUUUUGGAAUCAUGCCAUCAUAAUCAUUCACAGUUGGUGACACGCAAAAAACGUAAAUCUACAGCAAUUGCUUUAGCCGAGGCACUUUUAAAUGAGAACACAAAACUAGUACAGGAAAUAAGUAAAAAGAUUAAACAGUCACCUUGAUUCCGAAAGCAACAACAAAGCAAACUAUUAUUAGAGGCUUCUGUGGAUGAUGGAUAAAGAUGACAAAUUAAAUAUAAAAAAAGAAAAUGAUACAAAUACAUAUUAUCCCAAAUUUAUUACCGGCCAAGGAGGUUGUCAGAUUUUGAUGUAUAAAAAUGAAAAAUUUGUUAAGAAUCGUAAAACAGAUACUCGUA
rnacentral:misc_RNA from 1 species